rnacentral:rRNA from 1 species
CUUGACCUAUAUAAGAGGUCCAGCCUGCCCAGUGACAUAAUUCAACGGCCGCGGUAUCCUAACCGUGCGAAGGUAGCGUAAUCACUUGUUCUUUAAAUGAGGACUAGUAUGAAAGGCAUCACGAGAGUCACACUGUCUCCUCUUUCUAAUCAGUAAAACUAAUCUCCCCGUGAAGAAGCGGGGAUAAAAAUAUAAGACGAGAAGACCCUAUGGAGCUUUAAACAAACAACACUUGCCUGCCUUAUCUAAAUUUCAGAAAAACCCUUCAUUCUGGCAUCAUGAUUACUAGUUUUCGGUUGGGGUGACCACGGAACAAAAAAUAACCUCCGAAAUGAAAAUACUCCUCCACUAAAUCAAGGACCACAAUCCUACAUAUCAACAAAUUAACAUCAAUUGACCCAACAUGUUGAUCAAUGAAU